rnacentral:rRNA from 1 species
UACGGAGGGUGCGAGCGUUAAUCGGAAUUACUGGGCGUAAAGCGCGCGUAGGCGGCAUAGUAAGUCAGAUGUGAAAGCCCCGGGCUUAACCUGGGAAUUGCAUUUGAUACUGCUAAGCUAGAGUGUGAUAGAGGAUAGUAGAAUUCCCGGUGUAGCGGUGAAAUGCGUAGAGAUCGGGAGGAAUACCAAUGGCGAAGGCAACUGUCUGGGUCAACACUGACGCUGAGGUGCGAAAGCGUGGGGAGCAAACAGG